GGACCCGCACAAGCGGUGGAGGAUGUUCUUUAAUUCGAUGAUAAGCGAAGAACCUUACCAGGGCUUGACAUCCCUUGAAUUACUCCGAAAGGAGUGAGUGCUUUAUUGAGCAAGGUGACAGAUUCUGCAUGGCCGUCGUCAGCUCGUGUCGUGAGAUGUUUGGUUAAGUCCAUCAACGAGCGCAACCCUUGUCGUCUGUUGUAUUUUUCAGGCGAAACUGCCCCGGCAACGGGGAGGAAGGAGGGGAUGAUGUCAGGUCAGUAUUGAUCUUACGUCCUGGGCUAGAAACGUCCUACAAUGGCCGGUACAACGGGCAGCGAAACAGUAAUGUGAAGCAAAUCCCAUCAAAGCCGGUCCCAGUUCGGAUUGAGGGCUGAAACUCGCCCUCAUGAAGUCGGAAUCGCUAGUAAUCGCAGGUCAGCACACUG
rnacentral:rRNA from 1 species